UUUUCCCUUGAAAAUGAAGGUUCUGAUGAUGUAACUACAUUGAUUGACAAAAAGGACAAUGUGUUUGUCAUGUCAAAUAAGAAAUCAAAAUAUCCAGUGCUUCAAGUUGAUGUGAGACUUAUCUCAGACUUGGUGGUGGUUAUAGUCUCUGCUGCCAUUGGUGGAAUCAUCUUUUCUUGUUUAGGACAACCGGUUAUUGUUGGUUAUCUUCUUGCUGGCUCAUUAAUUGGACCAGGGGGUUUGAAGUUCAUCAGUGAAAUGGUACAGGUAUGUAAUCCACACGGCUUAUGAGGAGCAAUCAU